AUUUUAUUGAAUGUAAUAUUCAGUUUUUUUGGUUUGUGUGCCUUUUGCAUCAUGCUAUUUGGAUUGUUUAUAACUUAGGUUAUAGACCGAAAAGUUUAGAUUUAAUUUUAAGUAAGCUAGUAUUGAAAGUACGAGUAGUAUAUUUAAACUUAGAAUUGGUUGUGAUAAAUAAGUCGUUAAACUUUAUAUCUGUUUGGGAAAGAGUUUGUUUUUAAAUUUAUUUGGUGAUGAGAUCAAGUAAAUAAAUAUAGUUAUAUUAAGGUGUAAAUAAUAAUAGGGUUAAAAUUACCUUUAUUUUGAGUGUAUGUUACAAUUGCUUUAUUUAUUCUUUAUUUAUAACUUAUUAUCAAAAUUUCCUUAAAUUUAAUUAAGUGAAGUUAAUUAUCAUAUAAUAAGUAAUUUUAUUAGUCUCUUUGUUUUUCAUUUACAUCCCGUCUGUUUAUUAAAAACAUUUCCAUAUUAUUAAUUUUAUAUGGUAGGACCUGCUCUAUGUGUUAUAAAUGGCCGCAGUAUCUUGACUGUGCGAAGGUAGCAUAAUUAAUUGCCCUUUAAAUGGGGGCUUGUUUGAAUGGUUUGACGAGGUUGUUUUUAACAUGGGGAUUUUUAUUGAAAUUGAUGAUGUGAAUACAGAAUUUACAUUAUUUAAUUAGACGGAAAGACCCUAGGAUCUUUAUGUAAUUUGCUUGGGGCAAGUAAAAAUAGUUUAUUUGUUUUUUGACCCUCUGAGAGUUUAUAGGUUUAAGUUACCCUAGGGAUAACAGAGUGAUAGUUUAUUAGAGUUCUUAUCGAUUAAACUGUUUGCUACCUCGAUGUUGACUUGGGUUAAUGUUCUGGCGCAGUAGUUAGAAGUUUUGGUCUGUUCGACCACGAGUACCCCCAUGAGUUGAGUUAAGACCGGCGUGAGCCAGGUCGGUUCUUAUCUAUUAUUCUAAUUUGUUAGUACGAAAGGAUUGCAAAUUAUUUUAGU
rnacentral:rRNA from 1 species